rnacentral:rRNA from 1 species
AUAUUUAAGAGUUUGAUCCUGGCUCAGGACUAACGUUGGCGACGUGCCUAACACAUGCAAGUCGAGCGGGGGCAGUGAACAGUGAACAGUAAUCAGAAGUCGGUUAGUUAAUGCUAAGUUCAUCAAUCGUCCAGUAACAUCAAGUGUAAUGCCUUUUCUUUAUACCAAUUUGGUGGUUUUUCAGGAGGCUAAGUCAAUACACCGGGUGGUCUGCGAUUUGACACGAACUUAUCCAGCGGCGUAUUUCUACCUGCGAGAUCAAUUGCGUCGAGCGGCUCUAUCGGUGGCCUUGAAUCUGGCUGAAGGUUCAGGUAAAGGUUCCAAAAGAGAAUUUCGCCGCUACACCAUGAACGCCAUCGGUUCUCUCAAUGAACUGGCAGCGGGUCUAGAAAUAGCGUUGGGUGAGCAAUUAAUUAGCGAUACCAAUUGUCAGGACAUUAUUGGCAGAUGUGAAAUAUUAAAAAGACAGAUCGGUUCUUUAGCUAAUAAGUUAAAGUCCGAGGCCAAUAAAAUUAGUGACUGACAACCGAUUACCCUUUACCGUUCACUGCCCCAGCGGCAGACGGCUGAGUAACACGUCCGUAACCUACCUCCAAGUGUGGCAUAGCUCGUCGAAAGACGGGGUAAUACCGCAUGUGAUGUCACCAUAAUUUGGUGCCAUUAAAGCCGCAAGGCGCUUAGAGAGGGGCGGGCGGCCUAUCAGGUUGUUGGCGGGGUAAAGGCCCACCAAGCCUAUGACGGGUAGCUGGUCUGAGAGGAUGUACCAGCCAGACCGGGACUGAGACCAAAUACUGAUCUCCGUCAGAAGUAAUUCUGACGUAAAAUGUGGCUAAUAACGAUGGAGCCCUAAUGUAAGUUCGGUAAAUGUUCGGUAUAAUGAACAUAACGAAUGAAACAGGGUAAUAUCGUGGGAAGUCGAUUGCUAACGUUGGAUAAAGAAAACCGUGCUCUGAACAAUUAUCCAAAAAAAGCAAUUUGACCCCGUAACGACUGAGGUUUUAUACCGAGAAAGUAGUGCUGUAGCAACGAGCUACAUAAAAAUGCUACUUUAAUACGCCACCCCCUAAUCUGAAAAGAAAGGGUGAAGAUAUAGUCUACACUACUAGGAAUAGUAGAUAAUGUGACGGCCCGGACUCCUACGGGAGGCAGCAGUUGGGAAUUUUGCGCAAUGGACGAAAGUCUGACGCAGCAACGUCGCGUGUAGGAAGACGCACUUAGGUGUGUAAACUACUUUUAUUUGGGAAUAAUUUUUGAAGGUACCUUAUGAAUAAGCACCGGCUAACCUCGUGCCAGCAGCCGCGGUAAUACGAGGGGUGCAAACGUUGUCCGGAAUUACUGGGCGUAAAGAGCGCGUAGGCGGUCUGAUCCGUCGUUUAUUAAAGACCGAGGCUCAACCUCGGGAAAGUGAACGAUACAAUCAGACUUGAGUAAAGCAGAGGCACAUGGAACACUCGGUGGAGGGGUGACAUCCGUUGAUAUCGAGUGGAACACCAAAGGCGAAGGCAGUGUGCUAGGCUUUUACUGACGCUGAGGCGCGACAGCGUGGGUAGCGAUCGGGAUUAGAUACCCCGGUAGUCCACGCCGUAAAUUCUGCUCACUAGGCAUUGGGGAGUAUCGACCCUUCUUUGUGCCGAAGUUAACACGUUAAGUGAGCCGCCUGGGGAGUACGAACGCAAGUUUAAAACUCAAAGGAAUUGGCGGGGAGACGCACAAGCGGUGGAGCGUGUGGUUUAAUUCGAUACUAAGCGAAGAACCUUACCCAGGCUUGACAUCCUCGGAAUCUUUUAGAAAUAAGAGAGUGCCCGCAAGGGAACCGAGUGACAGGUGCUGCACGGUUGUCGUCAGCUCGUGCUGUGAAGUGUUCCGUUAAGUCGGCAAACGAGCGCAACCCUUACCCUUAGUUGUAUCACCCUAAGGGGACUGCCCCGGUUAACGGGGAGGAAGGUGAGGAUGACGUCAAAUAAGCGUGGCCCUUACGCCGGGGGCGACACACGCGCUACAAUGGGGCGAACAAUGGGUUGCCAACCCGCAAGGGGGAGCUAAUCUCAUCAAAACGCCUCUCAGUCCGGAUUGAGGUCUGCAACUCGACCUCAUGAAGUUGAAAUCGCUAGUAAUGGCCGGUCAGCCAUACGGCCGUGAAUACGUUCUCGUCUCUUGCACACACCGCCCGUCACACCACGAAAGCUGGGGGCGCCCGAAGGCUCUUAAUUCAUUAGGGGACUACGGCGAACUCGGUAAUCAGGGUGAAGUUUAACGGCUUCCCGUACGAGUAAUUGUACGGUAAAAUUCAACUAUAU